rnacentral:rRNA from 1 species
AUGUCUCGAGCCGGUACUGAAACUUUGCUGAAAUCAAAGACACAGGCUAUCCCAACCUUCAUCUCUAGCUGCUUCCGUCUGCCCGUGGCUAUCUGUGAGAAGUUCAGGCAAAUUGUAUCUGAUCAAUGGUGGGGCCGUGAGGAUGGAAAAAAGAAAAUGCAUUGGCGGUCCUGGGAGUGGCUCUCUACUCCGAAGUCCCUCGGGGGCAUGGGCUUCAAGGAUUUGGCGCUCUUCAACCAAGAUAUGUUGGGCAAACAAGGAUGGAGGCUUCUGACUGACCCUGAUUCUUUGUGUGCUCGAGUUCUAAAGGGAAGGUAUUUUCCUUUUGGUGAUUUUUGGAAUGCUUCUGCUCCCAGUUCUGCCUCGGCUACUUGGCGUGCUAUUUUGCAUGGGAGGGAC